rnacentral:rRNA from 1 species
AUUGAACGCUGGCGGCAUGCCUUACACAUGCAAGUCGAACGGUAACAGGUCUUCGGAUGCUGACGAGUGGCGAACGGGUGAGUAAUACAUCGGAACGUGCCCGAGAGUGGGGGAUAACGAAGCGAAAGCUUUGCUAAUACCGCAUACGAUCUCAGGAUGAAAGCAGGGGACCGCAAGGCCUUGCGCUCACGGAGCGGCCGAUGGCAGAUUAGGAGGUUGGUGGGAUAAAGGCUUACCAAGCCGACGAUCUGUAGCUGGUCUGAGAGGACGACCAGCCCGACUGGGACUGAGACACGGCCCAGACUCCUACGGGAGGCAGCAGUGGGGAAUUUUGGACAAUGGGCGCAAGCCUGAUCCAGCCAUGCCGCGUGCAGGAUGAAGGCCUUCGGGUUGUAAACUGCUUUUGUACGGAACGAAAAGACUCCUUCUAAUAAAGGGGGUCCAUGACGGUACCGUAAGAAUAAGCACCGGCUAACUACGUGCCAGCCGCCGCCGUAACAC